GGGAAGGUGGCUCAGUGGUAGAGCGCCUGCUUUCCAUGCAUGAGGCCCUGGGUUCAAUUCCUCAGCACCCCA
rfam:Dipodomys ordii contig_63657, whole genome shotgun sequence.